rnacentral:lncRNA from 1 species
UUUUUCUUGAAUAUAUAUAGAUGCAAUGAUGAGAUGAAAAAUUAAAAUAUAUAUUUUACUAAAAAAAUUAAGUAAAUUUAUAUAAAAGUAUAAGUUUUAAAUUUUGAUCAUUUUUUACUGCGUGCUCAAGCAGAUAGUCAAAAAAAUAAUGAAAGAAUAUUUUAAAAAUUUGGAUAUUUUAGGGAUUUUCUAAUUGUUAAAUUUAAAUUACAAGGAAGAUUAAUUCUAGUGAAAUUAG